AUUAGUGGGAGGAAUUGAAGAUGACUGAACUAUGGUGGAAGGUGAGUUGGAGAUUGGUGAGGAAACUCUGCAUUUGGUAUCAUCACUUGUGGACUUAUUCUUGCCCACUUCUCUUGAAUCAAACUUGAUCGAAUCAUUUGCAAUAACUUGUUGCUUUAUAGGUCCUUGAGGCUGCCUCUUUAUGCCAUACAACACCUCAAUGAUUGGGAUCUCAGUCUCCUCAUGGGUUGAGGAAGUAAACUUAGAAAUGGAUUGAGGAAGUAAACUUAGAAGGAUUUCGACAGUCUUUGCUUUGGCCCUUUAGGUUUCUAUAACAACUAAACACUCAUUAUUGAGUUGAACAAAAAAGAUCCCAUCAAAAUCUAUUGAACAUAGAUGUCAAAUGAUAGGAUUGACCAUCUUCUUAAUUGAAGCAUGAGAAGAAGAUAACAUGAUUGGAGUUGGGGAUGUAGGUGCUGAAACGAACAUCGCUGCAACGUUCCACUCAAUCUCAUCAAAAGGAAGAUCACAAUUUUGCAUAGAGGAGAGGAGAGGAGAGGAGAUGUUAGAUAAACCAUGGGAGGUUUUUGGAGAAGGGGCAAGUGGGGACAAGGAGGGGUAACGCAAAUAAUGGGGUCUAAUGUCUAAGUGGGGAGGGCAAGAGGAGGGGGUAUAAACUACCAAAACACUAAAUAUUUUGGUUUGCCUUUUUUUAUCCCCAUACAUCUUGUUUUGUCUUUUAAAAAAAAGGAUAUUUUUUGUAAAUUUAAUAUCAUACGUCUCUCCUUCCUUACCAUGGUUUUAAAUCGCAGUCGCGGUCUAGGUAAUGGGAAACAGGUUUAUAACAGCAGUAACGUAACGGCCUAGUGCCCUGUAAUUUUUUUUUGAAAAAUUUGUAA
rnacentral:misc_RNA from 1 species